UUUUACAAUAGCGCAUAAGUAUUUUCUGACAGUAAUUGUGUAGAGUUACAAGAGCAGCAUUGGUGUUCAGAUGUUGGUGCAAGCCGAUUAUACAUUAUGUAGCUGUACAUGAUUAUGGCUGGAAGAAGCCGGUGGGAUCCUGAUUGUUUGACAGAUCAACAGGCUGGUUAACACAGUUUCAAAAGCUUGAGCAAAAAGGGAGAAGAUGGUGCUUCAUUGUGUGGCAAAAGACCAGCAGUGCUUCAAAAGCCAAAAGGUGCUCGUUGUGCCUGGAAUUGGAAGUGGAAGAAUCAGCAGCUUUUUAUUUGUGCCAGUUGUAAGACAGUGGAUGUUAAAAAAUGGCAUGUAGCUGGAAUUUA